rnacentral:rRNA from 1 species
GACGAACGCUGGCGGCGUGCUUAACACAUGCAAGUCGAACGGUAAGGCCCUUCGGGGUACACGAGUGGCGAACGGGUGAGUAACACGUGGGUGAUCUGCCCUGCACUUCGGGAUAAGCCUGGGAAACUGGGUCUAAUACCGGAUAGGACCACUGCCUGCAUGGGUGGUGGUGGAAAGCUUUUGCGGUGUGGGAUGGGCCCGCGGCCUAUCAGCUUGUUGGUGGGGUGAUGGCCUACCAAGGCGACGACGGGUAGCCGGCCUGAGAGGGUGACCGGCCACACUGGGACUGCGAUACGGCCCAGAAUCCUACGGGAGGCAGCAGUGGGGAAUAUUGCACAAUGGGCGCAAGCCUGAUGCAGCGACGCCGCGUGAGGGAUGACGGCCUUCGGGUUGUAAACCUCUUUCAGCACCGACGAAGCGCAAGUGACGGUAGGUGCAGAAGAAGGACCGGCCAACUACGUGCCAGCAGCCGCAGUAA